rnacentral:rRNA from 1 species
GAUGGACGCUGGCGGCGUGCCUAAUACAUGCAAGUCGAGCGAACAGACGAGGAGCUUGCUCCUCUGACGUUAGCGGCGGACGGGUGAGUAACACGUGGAUAACCUACCUAUAAGACUGGGAUAACUUCGGGAAACCGGAGCUAAUACCGGAUAACAUGUUGAACCGCAUGGUUUAACAGUGAAAGACGGUCUUGCUGUCACUUAUAGAUGGAUCCGCGCCGCAUUAGCUAGUUGGUAAGGUAACGGCUUACCAAGGCAACGAUGCGUAGCCGACCUGAGAGGGUGAUCGGCCACACUGGAACUGAGACACGGUCCAGACUCCUACGGGAGGCAGCAGUAGGGAAUCUUCCGCAAUGGGCGAAAGCCUGACGGAGCAACGCCGCGUGAGUGAAGAAGGCCUUCGGAUCGUAAAACUCUGUUAUUAGGGAAGAACAAAUGUGUAAGUAACUAUGCACGUCUUGACGGUACCUAAUCAGAAAGCCACGGCUAACUACGUG